rnacentral:lncRNA from 1 species
CCUGGACUGAGGAUCGGCAGUGAACGAUCCUGGCGGUACCAAAGUGCCGGAACCUAGCUGCGGCGAAGAUGUGGUGCCAGAUGGCUGUGUAUCCUGUUCAACAGCAAUACUUGCUGACGCGGAUGCAGCCGUCUCUUGAUCUGCCUCGUGUAAUCCUGCGAGGUCGCCUAACGAUCGGGAAACAAACUCGGCCGCUUGAUCCCCUGACAUGUCGUCCGUCCACCCUGCCGCUAUAAGCGCAUCCGCCAGGAGAGUCCCAACGUCGCUUGAAGGCGUUGCUAGCGGGCUCGAGGGCAGACUGUCCAGCAUAUCCGCAAUCGCAGAAAUUGGGCUUGGAGACUCGUACCCAAGAAGUAAAUUCUCUGGAGGCGUGGCGGGGGAGGCGACAGAGCUUGCAGUGAGACUCCCGGAAGAGGCAGUGUCUGAAGAUGACCACGUCGGCAAAGCCGCUUCACGAUCGCUGGUACCUGUGGCCGUGCUCUCACUGGACCUCACAGAGACACCGGUAGAAUCGGUCGAUGGGACGCCAUCCAAGGGAGUGUCUGCUACCGGCCGGGCGAAACUGAGUGUAAGUCCUUCCGAACCGGUACGCAAUUGGUCAAGAUGAGACUGAACUGCUGGAUGUUCGUCGCUCUCUGGAAGCUCCAAAUAUGAAGCUAGUAUGUUGUGGCCGGUGACAGAAGCGUCGCUGUUGCCCUCGCCGUCCAAGUGUUGGUUUUCUUGAAACGCUGGCAGAGGCCUGCUGGAUGAGGCACCUAAAUGAGGGUUCAUCGCCAUGGUGGUCGGAUUUGGAGAAGCGUUUGCUGUUGUCACGCUGCCCGUGUUCGCCGUCGCUUGGGCAUCGCGGUAAACUUGAACGCCGUCGCUGAACGCAGUGAGUCUACUAACAAGUUGUUCUAGUUGUUCUAAUGCAGAUGGGUCAGCGUGAGGC